GAUGAACGCUAGCGGCAGGCUUAACACAUGCAAGUCGAGGGGUAACAGGAGGCGCUUGCACUUCGCUGACGACCGGCGCACGGGUGCGUAACGCGUAUACAAUCUACCUUUUGCUGAGGGAUAGCCCAGAGAAAUUUGGAUUAAUACCUCAUGGUAUGUAGUAAUGGCAUCAUUAUUAUAUUAAAGGUUACGGCAAAAGAUGAGUAUGCGUUCUAUUAGCUAGAUGGUAAGGUAACGGCUUACCAUGGCGACGAUAGAUAGGGGCCCUGAGAGGGGGAUCCCCCACACUGGUACUGAGACACGGACCAGACUCCUACGGGAGGCAGCAGUGAGGAAUAUUGGACAAUGGGCGCAAGCCUGAUCCAGCCAUGCCGCGUGCAGGAAGACUGCCCUAUGGGUUGUAAACUGCUUUUAUACAGGAAGAAACACUCCCUCGUGAGGGAGCUUGACGGUACUGUAAGAAUAAGGAUCGGCUAACUCCGUGCCAGCAGCCGCGGUAAUACGGAGGAUCCAAGCGUUAUCCGGAAUCAUUGGGUUUAAAGGGUCCGUAGGUGGAUAAUUAAGUCAGAGGUGAAAUCCUGCAGCUCAACUGUAGAAUUGCCUUUGAUACUGGUUAUCUUGAAUUAUUAUGAAGUAGUUAGAAUAUGUAGUGUAGCGGUGAAAUGCAUAGAUAUUACAUAGAAUACCAAUUGCGAAGGCAGAUUACUAAUAAUAUAUUGACACUGAUGGACGAAAGCGUGGGGAGCGAACAGGAUUAGAUACCCUGGUAGUCCACGCCGUAAACGAUGGUCACUAGCUGUUUGGACUUCGGUCUGAGUGGCUAAGCGAAAGUGAUAAGUGACCCAUCUGG
rnacentral:rRNA from 1 species